rnacentral:misc_RNA from 1 species
CUCGCUUGGGAAAGCACAAAUUCGAGCCCUCUCCUGUUCAAGUACUAUUAACAGAAGAAAUAUCCGGAUCUCUUCGGAAGCUGAAGGGUUGCGCCACUCUCACUAGGGAUCGUUUGAAAAGCUUUGAGAAGCGCGGCAUCAUAGUUCCAAGAGCCAAAGGGAGCAGGAAGAGUAGGUGAUGGUUUUUUGGAUUUCUUCACUUGUGGAUGAAGAAUGCGAAAUGGG